rnacentral:misc_RNA from 1 species
UUUCCGUAGGUGAACCUGCGGAAGGAUCAUUAAAAAUGAAGCCGGGAAACCGGUCCUUCUCACCCUUGAUUAUCUCAAUUUGUUGCUUUGGUGGGCCGCGCAAGCACCGGCUUCGGCUGGAUCGUGCCCGCCAGAGGACCACAACUCUGUAUUAUAUGUCGUCUGAGUACUAUAAAAUAGUUAGAACUUUCAACAACGGAUCUCUUGGUUCUG